rnacentral:rRNA from 1 species
UACGUAGGUGGCAAGCGUUGUCCGGAUUUACUGGGUGUAAAGGGCGUGCAGCCGGAGAGACAAGUCAGAUGUGAAAUCCACGGGCUCAACCCGUGAACUGCAUUUGAAACUGUUUCCCUUGAGUGUCGGAGAGGUAAUCGGAAUUCCUUGUGUAGCGGUGAAAUGCGUAGAUAUAAGGAAGAACACCAGUGGCGAAGGCAGAUUACUGGACGAUAACUGACGGUGAGGCGCGAAAGCGUGGGGAGCAAACAGG